rnacentral:rRNA from 1 species
GUUUGAUCCUGGCUCAGGAUGAACGCUAGCGGCAGGCUUAAUACAUGCAAGUCGAGGGGUAACAUGGGGUAGCAAUACUCUGAUGACGACCGGCAAACGGGUGCGGAACACGUACGCAACUUUCCCAAAACUGGUGAAUAGCCCUCCGAAAGGAGGAUUAAUACACCGUAACAUAUAGAGGUGGCAUCGCCUUUAUAUUAUAGCUCCGGCGGUUUUGGAUGGGCGUGCGCCUGAUUAGGUAGUUGGUGUGGUAACGGCUCACCAAGCCUACGAUCAGUAACUGGUGUGAGAGCACGACCAGUCACACGGGCACUGAGACACGGGCCCGACUCCUACGGGAGGCAGCAGUAAGGAAUAUUGGUCAAUGGACGAAAGUCUGAACCAGCCAUGCCGCGUGAAGGAUGAAGGCCCUCUGGGUUGUAAACUUCUUUUAUAGGGGACGAAAAAAGGGAAUUCCUUCCCACUUGACGGUACCCUAGGAAUAAGCACCGGCUAACUCCGUGCCAGCAGCCGCGGUAAUACGGAGGGUGCAAGCGUUAUCCCGGGAUUCACUGGGGUUUAAAGGGUGCGUAAGGGUGGGCAGUUAAAGUCAGU